AAUGAACGUUGGCGGCGUGGAUUAGGCAUGCAAGUCGAACGGGCCCGGCCGCAAGGUCGGGUCAGUGGCGCAAGGGUGAGUAAGGCGACGGUAACCAACCCCAUGGUCGGGCAUAGCCGCGGGAAACUGCGGGUAAUUCCCAGCGAUGUGGGCCGCGGGCAUCCCCGGCCCACCAAAGCUCCGGCGCCGUGGGACGGGCCGUCGUGGUAUUAGGUGGUUGGCGGGGUAAUGGCCCACCAAGCCUGCGAUGCCUACCGGGCGUGCGAGCGUGGCCCGGCACACUGGGACUGAGACACUGCCCAGACUCCUACGGGAGGCUGCAGUCGAGAAUCUUCGGCAAUGGGCGCAAGCCUGACCGAGCGACGCCGCGUGGAGGAUGAAGGCCUUCGGGUUGUAAACUCCUGUCGAGGGGGAGGAAGGCCGGGCGACCGGCUUGACCGAUCCCUGGAGGAAGCACGGGCUAAGUUCGUGCCAGCCGCCGCCGUAA
rnacentral:rRNA from 1 species